rnacentral:misc_RNA from 1 species
UUCUGGCAGGGUAUAUGAGAUCGUCGCUGAUUGGCUGCACCUUGCUCAAGCCGAUCUUCGAUCGAUCGAUAUCCGGCCGCGGGACGGUCACACUCACAGGUCGGCAUGUUGGUGAACCUUUCCUGUUUAGCUUAGAUUUCACGUUAUCAUGGUUAUUCAUGCCAACAAGAGCUGCAAACAACUUCUCUAAUUAGUAGAAUGUGGACGGACAUUGCAUUCAUUCCCAUUCAGCCAUUGGACUGAACCGGUACCAAGACCGGAACUGUAACACAGUAAGGAUGGUCAAUAUGAAGCGAGCUUCAUUGAAUUCCUCCAAGAGCUCUGUACUCUGUUCUGAUCAUUUUGAAGAUGCUUGCUUUGACCUGGGCAGACGAUACGUCUUAAACAGGAUGCUGUCCCAACCAUAUUUGAUUUCCCGCCUCGUCUUCAGAAGAAUUCACCCAAACCAAGGUAUUUCCCAAAAGACUUUUCGAUUCAGCAAACAACCUCCCAGAUACUGCAAAGACACCAGUGCCAAAGUCUUCAGCACCUUAAUUUCUCGAAGACCACUCCUACUGAAUACCAGAAAGUCCAAGAGGGGUAAAGUGGAAGUCAACAACAAUAAUGGACUGUAUUAAAACUUGGAGAAGAGGCUGAAAACCACACAGAAGUCCUACCUUAUACAUUACUUGCUUUUAAGUUUGGACAAACAUUGAUUUGCACAACUUUACAACAAAAAAUUUACGCUGUGUGGAUUCUGAUUAUUUAAAAUAGCUCAAUGAAAACGUUUAUCACUGGGCAUGUAACAAAAAUGAAUUCAUUGAAUUUGAAGAUGUCUUACAGUAUACAGUAUAUUCAUUCUGAUUUGAAUGUCAGAAGAGAAAAAAGUUUGUGAAAAGUAGGAAUGACGGCAAGCUGACAGAAGAAUAGAAUACAUGUAGGAUAGAACAAGGCCACAGUAAUAAAUGAGCUGUUGGAUAGAGACAAAAAGAUGAAUUAAGAAUGGGGGUGAUAGAGAAAUAGAGACAGGAAUUGGGGAGCCUGUGAUGAAUGCCUGAGAAAGUAAAAAUUACCAUAUUUUAUUUUUUUAAGGAUUUGAACAGUC